GCGGGCGUAGCUCAGCGGUAGAGCGCCUGCUUCCCAAGCAGGAGGUCGCGGGUUCAAGUCCCGUCGCCCGCU
rnacentral:tRNA from 1 species